rnacentral:rRNA from 1 species
GCAACGGCCUGCAGGCUCCCCAUCCAACCUAUCUUGAAACACGGACCACGGAGUCUGACAUGCAUGCGAGUCGACGGGUUUUGAAACCUGGAAUACGCAAGGAAUCUGACAAGUGGCAGGCCCUCGCGGGCCAUACCUCUGGCCGCCCUGAUCUUCUGUGAAGGGUUCGAAUUGGAGCACGCAUGUCGGGACCCGAAAGAUGGUGAAUUAUGCUUGAGCGGGGCGAAAUCAGAGGAAAAUCUAAUGGAGGCUCGAAGCGAUACUGACGUACAAAUCGUUUGUCUGACUUGGGUAUAGGGAUGAGACCAAUCGAACCAUCUAGUAGCUGGUUCCCUCCGAAGUUUCCCUCAGGAUAGCU